GACAAAGACAACAGUUUCAGGUUUGGUGUCUGCACACAGUAUGGAUUCCCAGGUAGGGAAGUUCCUGCUCCAUUCUUGUCCUUGUUCUUCCUUUGGACAGGAACAUUUCUGGGUAAAAUACUUUGAGAUGUGUAGGCUCAUCCCUCCAUUGGGGAACAGCUCAUCCCUCCAUUGGGGACUGUGCCUAUAUACUGGAGGUGGUCUCUUCAGGAUCUAUCUCCCUGUUCUCUGCACAUUUAGGCUAAAGCCAUUCUCACUGGGUCCUUGGUGGUGUGUUGCACCCUCUAGUGGCCUUCUCCAGUUCCUCACCCCGGUUAAAAGUUUUUAUCCAUUUCCUAAACUUCUGUUCCUCCUUACCG
rnacentral:lncRNA from 1 species